UGGGGAAUAUUGGGCAAUGGGCGGCAAGCCUGACCCAGCAACGCCGCGUGAAGGAAGAAGGCUUUCGGGUUGUAAACUUCUUUUAAGAGGGAAGAGCAGAAGACGGUACCUCUUGAAUAAGCCACGGCUAACUACGUGCC
rnacentral:rRNA from 1 species